UAGAGUUUGAUCCUGGCUCAGAUUGAACGCUGGCGGCAUGCCUUACACAUGCAAGUCGGACGGCAGCGCGGGCUUCGGCCUGGCGGCGAGUGGCGAACGGGUGAGUAAUACAUCGGAACGUGUCCUGGAGUGGGGGAUAGCCCGGCGAAAGCCGGAUUAAUACCGCAUACGCUCUGCGGAGGAAAACGGGGGACCUUCGGGCCUCGCGCUCAAGGGGCGGCCGAUGGCAGAUUAGCUAGUUGGUGGGGUAAAGGCCUACCAAGGCGACGAUCUGUAGCUGGUCUGAGAGGACGACCAGCCACACUGGGACUGAGACACGGCCCAGACUCCUACGGGAGGCAGCAGUGGGGAAUUUUGGACAAUGGGGGCAACCCUGAUCCAGCAAUGCCGCGUGUGUGAAGAAGGCCUUCGGGUUGUAAAGCACUUUUGUCCGGAAAGAAAACUUCGUCCCUAAUAUGGAUGGAGGAUGACGGUACCGGAAGAAUAAGCACCGGCUAACUACGUGCCAGCAGCCGCGGUAAUACGUAGGGUGCGAGCGUUAAUCGGAAUUACUGGGCGUAAAGCGUGCGCAGGCGGUCUGUUAAGACCGAUGUGAAAUCCCCGGGCUUAACCUGGGAACUGCAUUGGUGACUGGCAGGCUAGAGUGUGGCAGAGGGAGGUAGAAUUCCACGUGUAGCAGUGAAAUGCGUAGAGAUGUGGAGGAAUACCGAUGGCGAAGGCAGCCUCCUGGGCCAACACUGACGCUCAUGCACGA
rnacentral:rRNA from 1 species